rnacentral:lncRNA from 1 species
GAGAUCUGAUGGUUUUAUAAAGGGCAGUUCCCCUGCGCAUGUUUUCGCUCUUGCCUGCUACCAUGUAAGAGGAACCUUUCACCUUUCACCAUGAUUGUGAGGCCUCCCCAGCCACGUGGAACUUAAGGUAUUGUUAUGCUGUCCAGCACAGGCUGGUGUCUAACUCCUGGAUUAAAGCCAUCCUCCCUCCUCAGCUUCUCGAGUAUCUGGGACUACAGGGUAGACCUCAGAUUGCAGAAGACCAUCAGACCCAAGAGUACAACACACCAGGAUCUGGACUUUCCACUGUUUUUAAAGUUUUCACAGGCUGCAAUCUUCAAACUCUGCCACAAGAAAAACUCCAGAAGUAACUCUGAGGUCUGAUGUUUCACAAGGAAUACCUGUAUACUAUCUACAGGAAGUUGCGCAGGUCCUCCAUUUUCUUGCUUUUUUUGUGUUUUACUUCUUGGAUUACCUCUAAAACUCCGAAUCUCAUCAUCAUCAUUCUUGCUUGGAUUUCGUGACCUGGUCACUGACAACUUCCACAUCUUUCUGCUUUAACGUUCAGCACAAGCUAUAAUCAAUAUGUAUCUAUAUAAAGUCAAUACAUAUCCCUGGCUACGAUGUGAGCUUUUAAGAAAUGGGACUAUGUUCAGGAGAUCAAGACCAUCCUGGCUAACACGGUGAAACCCCAUCUCUACUAAAAGUACAAAAAGAAUUAGCCGGGCAUGAUGGCGGGCACCUGUAGUCCCAGCUACUCGGGAGACUGAGUAUAUUCGGCACCUUAAGAAUAUUGGCAGAAACACAACAGUCUUAAUGCAGCUUUCCAGGAAUGCUCCAUUUUUCUCUCUUCUCUCUUCCUCUAAGGCAGCUCUAUACAAGUUUAGCAAAAUUAAAUAUAUGUGGAAGUGUUAGUGGAUUCCUUCAAAGUAAUUAGUGGGUUUUGCUUCAUGAGGAGCAGGAAAAGUGAAAGUGUCAUGUAUCAAUUCCAUUGCUCCUGAGUUUAUUUCCUUGAGCUAAACCAAAAUGAAACAAGUGGACAUGGUAAACAGACUACAAAAAAAAAAAAAAAAAAAAAGAAAAACUGUCUAAAAGUUGACUUUGUUCUGAAUUCCUUUAUAAUUGCCUCAGUGUUUUUAUAUAGUUUAAAUACAACAGACACAGUUUAAAAUAGUGCAUUUCAUUUAUUUUCACCAUCUCCCACCUGUUCGUGAAUGGCACUGGGUAAGAAUAAAGAUGGCUAAACUAAGCAUGGAGAUGGGGAAAAGAUAAUGCUUAUGCAAAUGUCUGAAAAAACUUACAUUAUUUUCUGAACAUAGAAGAGGAGGCUUAAGUACUAAAAAUACAUACAACUGCUCCCUUACAUAUUACUAUAGCUGCUUUUAUAAAACUUUGAAGAAUUUGCCUAUCUCAGUUUAUCUUUUCUCAAAACUUCAGAAUCAAAAUCUUUACAUUAUUCCAGAAAUAAAGGUGGUGUAAAUAAAUAUAUUAGAGCUAUGCAUUCACCUUGUUUUUUUGUUUUUUUAAGACAGGGUCUCACUCUGCCUACUUAGACUGGAGUACGGUGGCAUGAUGUGGGCUCUCUGCAACCCCUCCAUCCCGGGUUCAAGCAAUCCUCCCACCUCAGCCUCCCUUGUAGCUGGGACUACAGGCGCAUGUCACCAUGCCUGCCUUUUUUUUUUUUUUAAUUUUUGUAGAGACAGGGUUUCACCAUGUUGCCCAGGCUAGUCUCGAACUCCUGGGCUCAAGAGAUUUGUGCACCUCAGCCUCCCAAAGUGCUGGGAUUACAGGCAUAAGCCACCACGCCCAUCCCAUUUACCUUGUUUGUUUAUUUUAGUUUUAGAUCAUUUAAAAGAAUUUCUUUUAGCUCCUAAUUAAAUUUCAUUCCCAUAACAUUUUUCUCCUUGCCCUCUAGGCUAAUACUUAAGAAAUAUCUGGGAACUUCUUGGAUAUUUGGGCACAGAUGGAAGAAAGAAGUCGGGGUGAGGGGGUCAGUAUUGAGGAUAAGAUUAGCCAAAAAGAACAAUGUACACAAUUAGGCAAUUAACCAUCCCUGUUCCAUGGGACUGGUGACCACCUCAGUCCUUCAAUCUGACAGUCCUAGGUCUGUGCCUCUUUGAAUUUUCUAUGGGGCAUAAGAGCAGAGGUUCAGAGUCUACAUUACUGAACAAUCUUCCCAGGACACAAUCAAGAGAAGCAGCAAAUUAGAAAGUCUGCUUUCCAGCCGUUUUGUGUUCUAGGGUGCUCUGGUGCCUUAAAAAGA